rnacentral:piRNA from 2 species
UAGCAUGGAAUGACUCAACUUCAGCU